GCCUUGGUGGUGUAGUGGUCAAGACGCUCGCCUGGUAAGCAAGAGGGCGUGGGUUCGAUCCCAGCCAAGGCA
rfam:Asian citrus Psyllid, Diaphorina citri - Florida Strain, whole genome shotgun sequence.